GACGAACGCUGGCGGCGUGCUUAACACAUGCAAGUCGAACGGAAAGGCCCUGCUCUUGUGGGGUGCUCGAGUGGCGCACGGGUGUGUAACACGUGAGUAACCUGCCCUUGACUUUGGGGUACCUUCAGGGAACUGGGGCUAAUACCCGAUAGGAGCUCCUGCUGCAUGGUGGGGGUUGGAAAGAUUCGUCGGUUGGGGCUGGACUCGCGGCUUAUCAGCUUGUUGGUGGGGUAGUGGCUUACCAAGGCUUUGACGGGUAGCCGGCCUGAGAGGGUGACCGGCCACAUUAGGACUGAGAUACGGCACAGACUCCUACGGGAGGCAGCGGUGGAGAAGAUGGCACAAUGGGCGGGAGGCUGAUGCAGCAACGCCGCGUGCGGGAGGACGGCCUUCGGGUUGUAAACCGCUUUCGCCUGGGACGAAGCGUGAGUGACGGUAAUGGGUAAAGAAGCACCGGCUAACUACGUG
rnacentral:rRNA from 1 species